rnacentral:piRNA from 1 species
UGAAAAUAUUAAAGCACCUAGAACAUAAAA